ACGGAGGGUCCGAGCGUUAAUCGGAAUUACUGGGCGUAAAGCGUGCGUAGGCGGUUUAUUAAGCGAGAUGUGAAAUCCCGGGGCUCAACCUCGGAACUGCAUUUCGAACUGGUAGGCUAGAGUACUGUAGAGGGUGGUGGAAUUUCCAGUGUAGCGGUGAAAUGCGUAGAGAUUGGAAGGAACAUCAGUGGCGAAGGCGGCCACCUGGACAGAUACUGACGCUGAGGCACGAAAGCGUGGGGAGCAAACAGG
rnacentral:rRNA from 1 species